UCUUAAGGUGGCUAGGUACAAAAUUAAUACUCAAAAUUUAAUAGCAUUCCCAUAUUCAAACAACCACAUAAAAGUUGUAAAAGAAACGCCGGGCGCGGUGGCUCAAGCCUGUAAUCCCAGC